rnacentral:ncRNA from 1 species
ACCGGACCCGGUGAAAGCCCGGGUGGCUCUUCCGGCCGCCGAUCCGCCGGAUAACG